rnacentral:lncRNA from 1 species
UCUUAUCUAAUUCUCCCUCUUUUUCUCUCUCAACCCUAGAAGCAAAAUAGUGAAGGAAAGUGUUGGAGACUUGGCAGCUUUGGUGUCUUGGUCGUAUUGGAGCUGCCGAAGUAGAAACCCAGCCUUGGAAUACUUCGAACCUGAGGUAAAUAAUUUGUUCUCAGCUGGGAAUUAAUUUGUUUGUUGCUUUAAAGAGAGUAGAAGCAAUAGAAUUUCAGUUUUCUGAAAUUGUAGGGGAAAAGCUUGGUGGAGUAGUGCAGUUUUUAAGGGUUUGAGCUGAAAAGAAGGCUUUAGAACAGGGAAGCUAGCUGUUGGAGCAUCAAGAUAAGGUAAACUUGAUCCAAUUAUGAUUAGGGUUCAAUUAUUUAUCUUAGAAAGAUGUUAAAUUGGAAUAGUAUGCUGGUUGAGGGUGUAGAAACCUGAAAAACUGCAUUGUGGACAUGGUAUUUGUGAGCUAUGGAUUAGGAAUGCAAUCUAAGAUGGAAUUAAUGGAAAGUUAAGUUAAUUCCUGGUUUAAAGGGUGCAUAUUUAUAUUCUAAAGAGGUCUAAAUCGCAUAUUUUAAGUAUUAUGACUCCUAAUUAAUACUGAAAGGCUUAAGGAAAAAUUGUGGAAGCAUGCAUGUAUAUGUAUGCAUAUGUAUGUAUACUUGUGAAUAUAUAUGUGAAUUGGUUAUUGGGAAUGAAACCUGAGGUGGAAGAGACCUAAUUCCUGGUUACAGUACAUGGUGUUUGACUUAAAGAAGAAGUAGACAAUGGGAUUAUAGGUUUCUAAAGUUGAAAUUGCCGUGAAAACCUAUAGAAAAGCCAUAUGUUGAAUGUAGUAUGUAAACUCUUGGGUUGACGUGAGCCUGUAGAAAUGAGAAGUAACAGGAGUUCAUUUCUGGUAUUCCUAAAUUAAUGGGUUGAAGUCCUUAAAUUGUUAGAGUUUGUAGUACUCUAUAGGUUUUUGUAGAACCUGUAUAGAGGGGUUGACAAUAGGUUAAAUGGAAACCUAAGCUCGAUAAUGCACUUUUGUAGGAUCGAGGUUCUCGCUUGGAAUUGAUCGCGUACAAACCUAAUUAAGGGCAAGGCGAACACGUUGGAAAGCUCGGAUCGAUAUUCCGACGAGCCUACGGCAAGCUAGUGAGGAAAACCUCAUUUUAGCUCAAGUUGUCGCGCGCAAGGAUUGCGGUCGUCCGUAAAGUGCGGGAAGUGAAUUUCUCACAUUCCGGUAUCAACUAAAGAUGGGUUGUGCUUCACCGAAGCGAUUAGGUCGCUUCCAUGCCAAAGUAAUGUAUGGUUUUCAUUGAUGCAUAUAUGUAUAGUGGUAGGUUAUGAAUGAUAAAGUGAAUGUGUGAAUUAUGAUAUAUUAGCUAAUGUUACCUACUGUUGAAAUAUGCAUAUGAAUACAUUAUGGAUAAUGUUAGAGAAUAUAUAAAUAUUGACAUAUUGUGAACAUGCUAGAUUCACAUGAAUUGAGUAUUAGUCGAUAACUCUAGGUUGAUUAGAGAAUUCGCCGUUUAUAAAGUGUAAAGUGAGAAUAUGUAAACUAUGAUCCCAGGCAAGGAUAACUAGGCUGAUACAUAGAUCGAGUGGCAUGAACCUAGUGUUAUUAAACAUAGGUUGGACAUGAACCUAGUGUCAUUGAACAUAGGUGUCGAGAUCUAGGUGAAAUGACAUAGAACCUAGCGUGAUUGAACCUAGGUUAUGAUGUAUAGUGACACUUAGUAUAUUUGAACUAAGUCAUGGGUUAUAGUGAUAGAAGGACCACUAGGAAAUAAAUUGAGUUAGACCUAGGAAGGUCGUCAACAUAAGGUAAGUAUUAAACCCUUAAGUUGUGAAAGUGGUUUUCGGAAUCCCUAGGAAUGGUGCUGUUGGCAAAAAUAGAAUCAGAACUACGGGUUUGACGGUUCUUCUCGCCCGGUAGUGAUUCAACGGGAUCGACGGUUCUCCUCUCCUGGUAUGAGCUCAACGGGUUUGACAGUUCUCCUCGCCCGUUAAGCUUUAGCAGCUUAGGGUCACGGGGAACGAUGGUUCUCCCCUCCCUAUGAUGGACCUAUAGUCGUGUGGACUUAAGGCUGAGGUGCUUGUGAGACGUCCUUCACCUCGAGCCUGACUUGACGCGGUACUCCUCGGAUGAUUGACUCGAGACCGAGUAGGGUGGAUAGCUUGAUUAAGGUAGAUGAAACCUUAGAAGCUAGUGUGAUUUGAACUAUGGAUAGCGAGAUAGAAAGUAGGAUCAGCAGACCUACUGGACAUAGUUGCACAAUUUGCAUAUUGCAUACCGUGAGGCAUACAUGUAUUAAUAUUAUCUGCAUAAAUUAUUUGUGAAUAUCUGUUGAACUAACAUGUUACAGUGCCUCUUUUGGACCUGGUGUGUCGAGCUCUUCCCUUGGGUGGCCGUACCCACUGGGAACUAUAUUUAUAUAGGUUCUCACCCCGGUGUUGUUUUUGGGGGUACAGGUUCGCACGUGAGCGGCGCGGCGGCGCAAGGACAGGGUGUAGCUCCGUAGAUAGCGCCCUACUACUGAGACCAAGAUAGCAGUAUCUUGAAGUGGUCUAGCUCAGAGUUCAGAAUAAAAGUAACAAACUUGUAGUAAUUUGUAUAAAGGCUUAUGUAAUAACUUAAAGGUAUUUGUAGUAUUGUAAAAUGUAAUAAAUCUCUGAGAUGAAUGCUUGUAAUAGCAUAGUAGCAUUUUAUGUUUUUGAUACUUAUGCAGUCUAUGUUUGAAUACUGUUCCUGGUUGGAACCUCUUAUAUUGCAUUGUAUAGAUUGUGACGCCUAGAACGUACAGGAAAAGCUUUGUCCGUUCGGCGGUCUGUCGGCGUGCCCGAAUCCGACCAAAUAGGCGGAGCUCGGAGCGUGA